rnacentral:lncRNA from 1 species
AAAUUUAAUAUAAAUAAUAUGAGAAUUGGGUGCCCCAGAUAUCACAGCUUGAACUUCUCUGUACAAAUUUUAUGAAGACCAUUCUAAGUUUGACAUGUGUUUAGGAGAUCUACAUUGCUUUGUCGAUGCCCCAAGAUGUCGCCUACCCUUUCUUGUUGAUUCAGGUAUAACAAGAUCACCACAUGCCCCAAUCUGAUCAAAAUUUGAAUUGCUCAGAUCACCUCAUGCCCCACUCUGAUCAAUAUUUGAGCCGCCCUUUUCAAGUUUUCAACUCAAAUCCCAUUUGGUCUAAGAUGCCCUUUGCGG